rnacentral:tRNA from 1 species
CGCGGAGUAGAGCAGUGGUAGCUCGUCAGGCUCAUAACCUGAAGGCCGGUGGUUCGAUCCCGCCCUCCGCAA